AGCGCGACCGGAUCGACGCCGCGGGUGACGACCAGAUAGUCGCGGAUGACGAUGCCGUGCCGGUUCUC
rnacentral:sRNA from 1 species